UGGGAGAUAUUGCACAAUGGGCGAAAGCCUGAUGCAGCGACGCCGCGUGGGGGAUGAAGGCUUUCGGGUUGUAAACCUCUUUCGCUAUCGAACAAGGCCCGCUUAGGGUGGGUUGAGGGUAGGUGGAGAAGAAGCGCCGGCUAACUACGUGCCAGCAGCCGCGGUAAUACGUAGGGCGCGAGCGUUGUCCGGCAUUAUUGGGCGUAAAGGGCUUGUAGGCGGCUUGUUGCGCCUGCUGUGAAAACGCGGGGCUUAACUUCGCGCGUGCAGUGGGUACGGGCAGGCUUGAGUGUGGUAGGGGUGACUGGAAUUCCAGGUGUAGCGGUGGAAUGCGCAGAUAUCUGGAGGAACACCGAUGGCGAAGGCAGGUCACUGGGCCAUUACUGACGCUGAGGAGCGAAAGCAUGGGUAGCGAACAGG
rnacentral:rRNA from 1 species